UGGAGCCGAGCGGCGAACGGGUGAGUAACACGUGAGUAACCUGCCCCCGGCUUCGGGAUAGCCCCGGGAAACCGGGAUUAAUACCGGAUAUGACCAGGGAGGGCAUCCUUUCUGGUGGAAAGGUUCCCUUCUCGUGAGGGAGGGGUUCUGGCUGGGGAUGGGCUCGCGGCCUAUCAGCUUGUUGGUGGGGUGAUGGCCUACCAAGGCGACGACGGGUAGCCGGCCUGAGAGGGCGACCGGCCACACUGGGACUGAGACACGGCCCAGACUCCUACGGGAGGCGGCAGUGGGGAAUCUUGCGCAAUGGGCGGAAGCCUGACGCAGCGACGCCGCGUGGGGGAUGAAGGCCUUCGGGUUGUAAACCUCUUUCAGCAGGGACGAAGGUGACGGAC
rnacentral:rRNA from 1 species